GAUGAACGCUGGCGGCGUGCCUAAUACAUGCAAGUCGAGCGAACGGACGAGAAGCUUGCUUCUCUGAUGUUAGCGGCGGACGGGUGAGUAACACGUGGAUAACCUACCUAUAAGACUGGGAUAACUUCGGGAAACCGGAGCUAAUACCGGAUGAUAUUUUGAACCGCAUGCUUCAAAAGUGAAAGACGGUCUUGCUGUCACUUAUAGAUGGAUCCGCGCUGCAUUAGCUAGUUGGUAAGGUAACGGCUUACCAAGGCAACGAUGCAUAGCCGACCUGAGAGGGUGAUCGGCCACACUGGAACUGAGACACGGUCCAGACUCCUACGGGAGGCAGCAGUAGGGAAUCUUCCGCAAUGGGCGAAAGCCUGACGGAGCAACGCCGCGUGAGUGAUGAAGGUCUUCGGAUCGUAAAACUCUGUUAUUAGGGAAGAACAUAUGUGUAAGUAACUGUGCACAUCUUGACGGUACCUAAUCAGAAAGCCACGGCUAACUACGUG
rnacentral:rRNA from 1 species